AUUGAACGCUGGCGGCAGGCCUAACACAUGCAAGUCGAGCGGAUGAAGGGAGCUUGCUCCUGGAUUCAGCGGCGGACGGGUGAGUAAUGCCUAUGAAUCUGCCUGGUAGUGGGGGAUAACGUCCGGAAACGGGCGCUAAUACCGCAUACGUCCUGAGGGUGAAAGUGGGGGAUCUUCGGACCUCACGCUCUCAGAUGAGCCUAGGUCGGAUUAGCUAGUUGGUGGGGUAAAGGCCUACCAAGGCGACGAUCCGUAACUGGUCUGAGAGGAUGAUCAGUCACACUGGAACUUAGACACGGUCCAGACUCCUACGGGAGGCAGCAGUGGGGAAUAUUGGACAAUGGGCGAAAGUCUGAUCCAGCCAUGCCGCGUGUGUGAAGAAGGUCUUCGGAUUGUAAAGCACUUUAAGUUGGGAGGAAGGGCAGUAAGUUAAUACCUUGCUGUUUUGACGUUACCAACAGAAUAAGCACCGGCUAACUUCGUG
rnacentral:rRNA from 1 species